rnacentral:snRNA from 1 species
ACCUUUGUGCAGUGGCAGUAUCGUAGCCAACGAUGUUUAUCUGAGGCACAGUUAUUGCUAAAUAAAAUCUUUUCCCAGAAAUAGUCUCCAAAAGAGGGAGACAGCUAUGGAAUAAUGUUAGCAAU